GGUGAAGAACGUAGCAAAAUGCGAUAAGUAAUGUGAAUUGCAGAAUUCAGUGAAUCAUCGAAUCUUUGAACGCACAUUGCGCCCGCUGGUAUUCCGGCGGGCAUGCCUGUUCGAGCGUCAUUUCAACCCUCAAGCCCCCGGGUUUGGUGUUGGGGAUCGGCUCUGCCCUUCUGGGCGGUGCCGCCCCCGAAAUACAUUGGCGGUCUCGCUGCAGCCUCCAUUGCGUAGUAGCUAACACCUCGCAACUGGAACGCGGCGCGGCCAUGCCGUAAAACCCCAACUUCUGAAUGUUGACCUCGGAUCAGGUAGGAAUACCCGCUGAACUUAAGCAUAUCAAUAAGCGGAGGA
rnacentral:misc_RNA from 1 species